rnacentral:lncRNA from 1 species
CUCCUCCCUCCUCUUCCCCCACAGCCUGGGGGAGGCUCCGAGGCUCGCGCGCUGGCUCCGCGCCCCCGCGUCCGAACGUCCCCCUUUCACGCGCAGCCCUGGCCACCGAGGGGCGGGAGCUCCAGGUGGCCCGCGAGCCCCCCUGGGGCGAGUGCGGGGGUGAACCGAGAGCACCCACCAGCAUCUCUUUGCUGGAGGGCGGGCCCUAGUCGGAGCCACACAGCAUUGCGCGACAGAAUCCCACCGCUGGGGUUCUGCUCCUCGUGGAGCCAGGCCUUGGGAAGCACGGGGGUGUCCCUCGGCCACUCGCUCGGCUGGCGUGCACACGGGUGGAUAGUUCACGCCCGCCUCGGGAUACGGACGUGUGGAUCUGGAUUUCGGACCUGGACAGACGCGUCCGGGAAUACUCACAGGGUAGCAGAGAGCACCUGACUGCCCUGGUACAGGAAGCCACUCACCCCGGUCCGCUGGUGACACAGACAGCCGUGCUGCCCAGGACCCAGAAAACCUCACCUUGUGGCACAGAAGGUGCCCGCUGCCUCCCUCUCUUGUAGCCUUGCUGACUCCGACAAACCUGUGUUUGUCUCAGAGGCCAGCUCCUGCAGGACUGAACUACGCCUCCUUCCCCUAACCGUCACUGCCACCAGUCCGAUGGCCUGACUCCUCAGCACAGUGAGCCUUGGGGUGCCGAGAGCAGGCCUCCUCAAAACCCUGGAGGGGCUGUCACUAUAGGGAGGGGAUACAUUGUGAGAAUUCUGGAAUCACAGGGACCAUUGGACAACCUGAGGGUAACUGACUUCUGCAGGGGUCAGGAGGAUGCCCCAGAGUCAGUGGCUUCUGGGCUGGGGUUGGAGGGAGGAAUAAAAUAAAAGUUCACCAGGGCCGGAGGCUCGGCCCCAGGGAGGAUUAUUUGAGGCCUGAAGUUCUGGACCAGCCCAGGCAACACAGUGAGAUACCAUCUCUGAAAAAAAAAAAUUAAAAUAUUAGCCAGCUGUGGUGGUACGUGUCUGUAGUCCUACCUACUCUGGAGGCUGAGGCAGAAAGAUUGCUUGAGCCCAGGAGUUGGAAGCUGCAGUGAGCUAUGAUUGUGCCACUGCACUCCAGCCUGGGUGACAGACUGAGACUCCAUCUCUAAAAAAGUUUAAAAGUUCACCAGAGAAGGAAGAGAAGU